ACGUAGGACGCAAGCGUUAUCCGGAAUUACUGGGCGUAAAGCGCGUGUAGGCGGAUGGUUAGGUCAUUGGUGAAAGCUCCGGGCUAAACUCGGAGAGGUCCGAUGAUACUGAUCAUCUAGAGGGGGUCAGAGGGGUGCGGAAUUCCGGGUGUAGUGGUGAAACGCGUAGAGAUCCGGAGGAACACCAGAGGCGAAGGCGGCACCCUGGGGCCAACCUGACGCUGAGACGCGAAAGCAUGGGGAGCGAACGGGAUUAGAGACCCCGGUAGUCCAUGCCGUAAACGAUGUAGACUAGAUGUGCGGUUCACUACGGUGAAGUGCGUGUCGCAGCUAACGCGAUAAGUCUACCGCCUGGGGAGUACGGCCGCAAGGUUA
rnacentral:rRNA from 1 species